CUUCUCUUCUUGAGACAUCUGUUCUUACAGACAGCUGUAUAUUUCAAAGGAGAAAAAUCUGAUAUUUGCAUUCAGAAGCAGGAAUUGGUUUUGGUACCAUAAAACAAUGGCAGAAUAUGAGCUUUGUAUGCUGGAGUCCUAGGUUCAAGCCCUAGAAUCUCUAGCAGGUAAUAGAAAAUGCACUGUCAGAGUAGACAAUACUGGAGGUUAGGUGGACAAAUAGCUGAAGCCAAUAAAAGACAAUUUCUUAUGUUCCUAAUUAAUUUGAAUGAAUCUCUUUUCAGAAUAAUCUUCCAUUAAUACAGGGGAAGGAGUGAUUGGAGGCAAGGUCUCUGACAUAGAUGUAACUCCUGCUGCAAUGAAAUCUGACCUCUUGGAUUAUUAACCUUUCAAACCUACAGCCUACUUAUUUCUGAGGGGGCUUCUCAUCCCAGCUGUGACACCAGGUCCUUGUAGUUGAAUAAAAGCAGACAGUCAAAGAGGAGAGUUUUUUGUCUGUUGGACUCUUCAGAAGCAGCAGGAUCAAGAGAGAAUUCUCCAUUAGCCUGAGAAAUGCCAAGGGAAGAGUACUUCUGGAGAUGCUACAUUGCUCAGCCUGCCUCCACUGUCCUCCCACUCCACAACCCUGCAUAGCAACCUAAUCUUCAGGCAGGAACCACCGCGAUGGUGGGGGAAAUGGCACAAUGGUGGUUCAUCUAGCAGAGAGUUCACCACUGGGUCCUGCCUUUAAUGAGAAUUGACUAGAUGGGGUGAAACAGCAGCAAUCUGCUUCUGAACUAGGUAAAGCUGCUCAUAAUUGGUCCAAGCCUCAGGCUAUUAGCCCUGGGGAACCCCCUCCCUCAACUAAUUGGAUCAUUUGCAUAUUUCUUCAUAACAAGGCUUUGGGGGAAGUAUUUCAAAGGCAAAGACUUGGUUUUUUAAAUAUUAUUUCCAUUUCAUUCUAAAGCAAGCAAUCUCACAUUUUCAAGUAGCAAUUCAUGUGCUUUACACAGCUAUUAGGAAGCGUAAAAUAGCAAAAAAUAAAAACAAACCCCCCCCCCCCAAAACCAACCCCCAAACCAAGAAUUUUGUGUUUAUUCACACUUGUGAACAGAGUUUGGAAAUGUUACCUUUUUGAAGGGUCCAUCCCAGAAUUGUUCAAUGGUAGCCAUGUUGCCUGAGAACUCUGGGAUGUUUAGUCUGAAAAAGUAAUUUCUCCAAGCUCUGCUUGUAGUUCACUGAACCACAAACUAUGAAUCCAUUAUUGAGAAGUGUUUCAAAUAUCAUGUAUUUACUGUGUGGAAUGCACAUCCACAUAGAAGCAGGGAUAAAAUUGAUAUGUAGAUUGUGAAAUGUAACAAGUGUGUGUCAUUGUUUCAAAUCAUGAUCAAGUACAUUGCCCAAUUGUAAACUCAUUCUGAAAUAGUCAAGUGAGUGCUUAUCUACAAUUUUUCUACUUGAAAGUAAUAUCUGUGUAGGAAACACAACUGGCCUGAGACCUUUUGCCAUGUCAAGUGAAAUACAGGAUGGGUCCCUUUUCUGUCCGAUGUAUAGAAUCCAGUUACAUCAAUUGUAACUUAUAUUAACACUGGUAAUCAGGAGGAACUCAAGACACAUUGUCGCUUGAGGCAACAGUAAAUUGGCAUGUAGAAGUGCUAACUAGAUUGGAAGUUAUAUCUUUUUCCACUACUGGCAUUGAAAUAGCAUCCUCAAUAAUACUUGAAGGUAGCAGUCUAACUAGUGGUUACAUGAUAAACCAAGUGUCCUCCAUUCUGCUUCUACUUCCUGGUAGCCACCUUUCAAAGUCACUGCUCACUCUGCCUCACAAUAGAGGCAGCCUUUCUGGAGAUGGCUUCUAUCACAUUAGCAAGCAUUGGCUUAGCGUGGGAGUGUAAAGCAGCCAUGAGGUGCACACAGCCUUGCUGUGGCUGGCCUUGCUGUGCACAUAAACAUCAGAGACUACAGUAAGACAUCCAAAUCCAUAGGACUGGUACUCACAGUUUCAUUUGCCUACAUAUGACAAGAUAUCUCCUCUCUAGGCAUUUGACCCUCCAGGACAACUGUAUUAUAUUCUGGGCUCAGAAGUCUUUCAUUUCAUUAGGGUUCACUAUUAUCUGUAGUAUCAUGUAUCCACACUAAGGAUCUCAUCAUAUGGAUGAGGUCCCAUGGAGCGAUUUGCCACCCUCUGUGGCAAAUCAACGGGGCAGCGGGGUAAUUCCAGUGGCCGACACCCCACCUCACCCAUGGCUGGCACUUUCCCAUCCCACAUGGGGGAGCAUUGCCAUGCAGCUUCAGCCUGCGCUGGCCUCAUGGUUGUCUAUGGAACACUGGAAGUCUUCUGUGUUCCAAGGGAAGUGUCCUGCCAUGUCAUGAUGCUUCUUCCACAUAGCCAUGCUGGAAGUUGAUGUAUGUUGUGUGAUGGGUGGCAGGGGGCUCUGAGGAGGAAACAUCCUGGUAGUAUGCUAGGAUGCCAAAUUCACCUCAUGUGAUGAGGUGGUAAGUCUGGGGAUGUAUUAUUCUCACAUAUGAGGACAUACCGUAUAUGUUUCCACUUCUACUUUUCACAAUUCUGUCUUGAAAGUACAACUCUAAAUGCAGUCUUUGUUUAGUCUGUCAUAAUCUUCUGUCUACCACUGGUCAUUUUCAUGAACUAACAAAUCAUCACUGGCCAUUAUAUCCGAACUGAGCUGGAGGAGGGUUUUUAAAAAUCACCCAAUAGAUACUGAAAUACAACAACAACAACAUUUGAGUGCCACAUUAAUCAAAUGACCCAUCAGCCACCCGCAAAGAUUUUGUGGACUCAGAGGUGGUUCCCGCUAGCAGAGUUCCUGCACAGUUUUCCAACUGGAGUAGAAACAUUGACCUUGGAGGCCUCCUCUUCCCUACAUUCAAUUACUGGCCUUGGCUGUCCACAGGUCUCCUGCAGAUAUCAGAUUGAGAUUAUAGCUAUCUAUAAUAAGUUAAUGAUGUUUUGGAAGGCAGUAUAUAACUAUAGGUUUUCAUUAAAGAGGCACCAUCCCUUCCCAAAAUGACAGAGGGAGAACUUUUGGUUGCCACUGGUGGUUUCCUCCGCCCCAAAAGAGCUGUUUUAGGCUGCAAUAAAAUUUUACAAACAUGAAACAAAAUAUCCUCUGUUCUGAUUAUCCUAAAUAACCAAAACCUCCCAGCUGUCCUACUAUCUGGCUUGCAAGAGUUUUGUUUCUCUGGUCUCCAUCCAAAAAUGAGCAUUCUGCCAUGAGGGAGAUGGCUGAGUGCCACUGUUUUUACUGCUGUUUUAAAGGGCAGAAGUGAAAAGGCCCCGCUCCAUUUCCAGUCUGAAAAUGGCCACUGGGCCACACAAGGCCAACAAAAUGCAAUGGAUACUUUGCCUUCUCCUUUGCUAAAGGAGAAAAUCUCUUCUCAAUCAGCAAACUAGUACUUUUGUUGUUGUCUCACCCAAACCCACACUGGGACACCUUCAGAGAUCAUUCAAACCUUGAACAAGCAGGUCAAACUCAAAACAGUACUGUAUACAAUAGCGCUUAUAUGGGUUUAGGAAAACAAAACUUGCAUGAGUGGUCAUUGCAUAUUCCAGUUUAACGUUUCUGUCUCUGAUUUUCUGAGUCUUAUUAUGAAAGAUCUGUACAAAUGUUUGAAAGAGAAAGAUUCAAACUAUGCUGGAUUAGAAAAGCAGUUAAUAGAGCAGAAUAAAGAUGU